AUGUACGGCGCCAUGAAGGACCAGGCGGUCGCGCUGGUCCGGCGGGCGGUGCAGGAGGACGACGCCGGCGACUACGCGGCCGCGCUCCAGCACUACGUGCAGGCGCUCGACUACUUCGCGGCGCACCUCAGGUACGAGCACAACCCCAGGGUCCGCGACGCCAUCGCCGCCAGGCUCCCGGGGUACGUCGCCCGCGCCGAGGAGAUCCGCGCGCUCCUCGACGGCAACCCCGCCCCCUGUGGACCCGCCGGCAACGGCGUGGCGGCGGCGACCAGGAAGAAGGAUCCCCGCGGCGGCGGGGACGAGGACGACGAGCGUGCCUCGGAGCGGACCAAGCUCCGCGCGGGGCUCCACUCGGCGAUCGUCUCCGAGAAGCCCAACGUGAGGUGGAGCGACGUCGCCGGGCUGGACGGCGCCAAGCAGGCGCUGCAGGAGGCCGUCGUGCUCCCCGUCAGGUUCCCGCAGUUCUUCACCGGCAAGCGGAGGCCGUGGAGGGCGUUCCUCCUGUACGGGCCGGCGGGGACGGGGAAGUCCUACUUGGCCAAGGCCGUCGCGACGGAGGCCGACUCCACCUUCUUCAGUAUAUCCUCGUCGGAUCUUCUUUCGAAGUGGAUGGGAGAAAGCGAAAAGCUGGUCGCAAACCUGUUCGAAAUGGCUCGUGAAAAUGCCCCCUCCAUCAUCUUCAUCGAUGAAAUUGAUUCUUUGUGUGGCCAACGUGGAGAAGGUAAUGAAAGCGAGUCUUCUAGGAGGGUUAAGACGGAGCUGCUCGUCCAAAUGCAGGGUGUUGGCCAUAACGAUGACAAGGUCCUUGUUCUUGCUGCUACAAACACUCCAUAUGCUCUGGAUCAGGCCGUCAGGCGGCGUUUUGACAAACGCAUCUACAUUCCACUGCCUGACCUUAAAGCUAGACAACGCAUGCUCAAGGUCCAUCUCGGCGACACCCCUCACAGCCUGACCAAGAGCGAUUUCGAGAGCGUGGCUCACCGGACAGAUGGCUUCUCCGGCUCGGACAUCGCCGUCUGCGUGAAGGACGUGCUGUUUGAGCCCAUACGCAAGACGCAGGACGCCAUGUUCUUCUUCAGGUCAGAGGACGGCGGCGGCGGCACGUGGACGCCGUGCGGGCCAAAGCAACCAGGGGCCGUGCAGACCACCAUGGAGGAGCUCGCGGCGGAAGGCAUGGCUGACCAGAUUACCCCGCCUCCGAUCUCCAGGACAGACUUCGACAAGGUCCUUGCGAGGCAGAGACCGACGGUGAGCAAGGCGGAGCUGGGAGUGUAUACAAGGUUCACCAAAGAGUUUGGGGAGGAGGGCUGA
rnacentral:rRNA from 1 species